CUCUAUGAGAUUUAUCUCUCUCCCACCUUCAACUAAAACAUUCAGAACUCAAUCAAGAGCGAACCAGAACAUCCUCAAAAAAGCCCUAGCAUUUGCUCUCUCUUUUAUAGGGACGUGAAGCGCUCUAUUCGUUGUCUAGUGUAAUGGUGUUAUGCGAGGUAGCACCGACCAAGAAGAGUGCUCCGAUUCUGGUAGGGCUUUGUCCUCAUCUCUUCUACUCUCUCUCUCUCUGGUAUCUCUCUCCACCUAGGUAUGUUUUCUUAUAUUAGGGUUUUUGAAUGUCCUUCACUGUUUAUAUGCUGAAAUUUGGAUGAAGCAAAAUUGAAAGGGAAAGGAGUGAUCCUCUCAAAGUCGCUCUUCUCCCUCGGCUUGGAUUUGUGAGUUCUCCAUUUCUUUUAUAUUCUCUUAUACAAAUCAGAAACCCCACCCUAACACAGGUUCAGAUUCUGCAAGAAAUCUCUCUUGGAAAUCAAGAGAGAUUUCAGUUUAUUUAUUUAUUUUCUUAAUCAAGGCGAUUCAACAAAAUGGUAAAGCAUGGAUUUAACGGAAGCCCCAAUACCGAGUUUAGAGUCCGUAGGAUGUUCGGAGCUGUCUGUUAAGAUUGGAGGCCAAUCAGAACGCUGAGAAGGAGGGAGAUAUCCUUAUUGUCUUGAAUUCUUUGGCAAACAAUCCUGCCCUUUUAGGAAACUCCAUCUCAACGAGUUUUGAAGAUAUCUCUGUCCGCCCCUCAAAUUCAAAUUUGAAUGAUCAUGUGGCUAGAUUCGGGCCGGAUUCAGAAGUAGUGGAUAGUGAAGACCCAUCUGGUGAUGAGAGUUCGUCUGAUUUCACAGGGAACUCGGAGGAAAACGAGAUGGAGGAGGACGUUUUUGUUGUCAGGGAAUUGCCACCCAGGCCAAUAAGAAAGGGCGUGUCCACCAGAGGUCGUGGAGUUUUGUCUUUGAUGAGGGGAGGUAGAAUCGCUUCUUCCACUCAAGCCUCGCCAUAGAAUGGGGGUUCGCAGCUCGCUAGCUUCCUUGUCUCAUCCAGAAGGGAUGGUAGAGCUGCUUUGCAUUAUCAGGAGAUGGAGAAGAUAGACUAUGCUCUCUAUGCCCGUGAAAAGGGAAUUGCUGGCUCUUCUAAAGGAGGCAACCAAAAAAGGAAAAAAGCAGGUCAGACUAAUAAGUCUGGCAACACCAAUUAAUUCAUUGUUUCCAAUGAAAGUCCUCUUUUGGAAUAUCAGAGGUGCGAAGAAGGUUACUGGUUUGAGAGCCUUAUCAUUUUUUCUUUGAGAACAUUCUCCUGAUGUUGUUUGCGUGGCAGAGCCAAUGAUCAGUGAAAGUAAAUUGCCCUUUUUGUUCUUUAACAAAUUGGGGUUCGAGGCUGAUUUCAUUCACAACCUCCGUGUGGACAAGGUCCCUAAUCUAUGGGUCAUUUGGAAGCAAGGAAUGUCUCGCCCCUCGGCCAUCUCGGUGUCUAAUCAACAAUUAUCAAUCACAGUGGAUUGGUUAGGGAACAGUGUGGGUUUGACCUUUGUGCAUGCGAACUGUUUUAAGGUGAAACAUAGAGAGCUUUGGAUAGAGCUGGGUUUGGUGGUGAAUCCUAUUCUUCCUUGGUCAGUGAUAGGUGAUUUCAAUGCUACUCUUCUUUCCAACGAAAAAAGGGGUCCAGGGAGAUUUAAUGCAAGCUCUGUUGCAGAGUUCCAAUCUAUGGUGGAUACUUGUAUGUUGGUGCAAGUGCCCUCGUAGGGCAAGAAGUUUACCUGGACUAACAACCGCCGGCGAGGUAAUGUAGCUGUGGACCUCGAUCGAAACUUCUGCAACAGUAAAUGGCUGGAUAUGUUUAAAAAUAUUCUCCAACGGGUUCUCCUAAGAUCCUCCUCUAAUCAUGCUCCCAUUCUGGUUGUAUCAGAUGCGAUCCCCAGACCAGGUAAUAUCCCUUUUAGAUUUAAUAAUUUUUGGAUGGAGCAUGAACACUUUGAUAAUGUAAUUCAGGAUGUGUGGAACAAGGAAAUAUCUGAAAAUCCUAUUCAUAUUCUUUCUCAGAAACUUAAGCAGGUUAAGUUGUUUAUCCAGCCUUGGGCAAGGAAUAAUUUUCCUAACAUUAAUGAAGAAGUAAAGAAAGCUUCCGAUCACCUGAAUUCAGUUCAUAAAGAAAUUGAGGCUCCAGGGAUGUCCAAUGAUCUUUUUGGCCGCGAGGUAGAUGCCAAAAUGGCUCUAUUGAAAACCACCUAGUUGCAGGACAAUCUAUGGGCUAAAAAAUCAAAGCAGAGGUGGAUGAAAGACGAGGACAAAAAUUCAAAGUUCUUCCACCUAUCAGUAAAAAUGCAACGGGCUCGCAAUCAAAUUCGCACUUUGCAGAAUGCUGAUGGGGAGUGGAUGAACAACCAGUAGCAAUUGUCUUCAUAUAUUUCCAAUUAUUAUGAAGAGUUUCACAGCUUAUCCCACACUUCACCUCACCCUGAGUUGUUGGAUUGUAUUCCCUGCGUGAUUUCGGACGAUGAUGUUCUUUAUUUGGAGGCUAAACCAUCUUCAAAGGAAAUAAAAAAAGUGGUUUGGGAUUUGGACCCAGAUAGCUCCCCUGGAACUGAUGGCUUCUCAAGGAAAUUCUUUAGGCGGGUAUGGCAUAUUGUUGAGGGUGAUUUUUGAAGGGCGGUAGCGUAUUUCUUCAGAUGGGGAGUCAUUCCAAAGGGUGUGACUAAUUUUUUUCUCACUCUUAUCCCCAAGGUGGUGGGGGCUACUACUCUCGACAAGUAUAGGCCUAUUUGCAUGGAAAAUUACUUCUGCAAGGUGUUACCAAAGAUCAUGGCAAGUAGAGUUGCAAUCCUCCUUCCCAGGCUGAUUUCGGAGGAACAAGGGGCAUUCCAAAGGGGGAAGAUAAUAUCAGAAAAGAUUAGCCUUGCUUCAAAAUUGGCUAAUCUGAUGUAUACCACUGUUAGAGGAGGCGGGAUGGGUCUCAAGGUUGAUGUACAGAAAGCCUACGAUUUCCUAUCUUGGGAAUUUCUCUUUGCCAUACUUGGGAAGUUCGGAUUUCCUCGGAAAUGGAUUUCUUGGAUCCAAGAAAUUCUCUCAUCUUCAAGGAUUUUGAUUUUAACAAAUGGAGGUCCAGUGGGGUUUUUUGGUGUGGGCCGUGGUCUUUGUCAAGGUGAUCCGCUAUCUCCCAUUUUGUUUAUUUUAGCUGAGAAAAUGCUCUGCAGAGGAUUAAAUAAAAUGAUCUCAGAAGGAUCCAUAAAGUCACUGUCGGGUCCAAGAGGUGCCUGUACCCCAACUCAUUUACUAUUUGCAGACGGUAUUUCCAUUUUCAUGAAUGCGUCAAGUAAGUAUGUUAAAAAUCUGCAUUUAUUUUUAUCAAAGUAUCAAGAGUGCUCCGACCAACAUUUUAAUCUCGACAAGAGCAAAGCCUUCUUUAGGAAGGUCGCCCCCCACAGGAAACACUUUAUUAGUAAUUUUCUGGGAAUUCAGACCUCAAAAUUUCCUACAAGGUACUUGGGUGUGGAGAUCUUCAAGGGAAGAGUGAAGAAAAAUCACCUCUUACCUUUGAUGGAUAAGAUUAAAUGCAGAUUGACCUCCUAGAAAGAGGAGCUUCUCUCUAUGGCUAGUCGCGUGGAGUUGGUUCGAUCAGUAAUUUCAAGCAUCCCUAUCCAUAUUUUUGCGGUUUAUUGGUGGCCUCAGUCCAUUAUUAAAACUGUAGAGCAGUGGAUGAGAAACUUUAUCUGGUCGGGUCAAAUGGCGGUGCAGAAAAAAAUUGUGAUUAAAUGGGAGGACAGUUUUAAGCCCAAGGACGAGGGAGGCUUGGGUAUCAGAAAAUUGAAAGACGUGAAUAAAGCUUGUUUAAGCAAGUUUGCCUGGCAGAUCAAACAUGAAUACAAUAUUAUGAGAAAAGUUUUUAGAGCAAGGUUUGUUCAGAAAGACAGCUCUCUUAGGAAGGGAUACAAGUCUUCCUCCAUUUGUCCAAGGCUGAAGAGGGUGUGGCAAUUUGUGUC